rnacentral:lncRNA from 1 species
GCCACCCAUAGCUGUAGGUAUUGACGAGUCAGACAUUUUAAUCCUUAUAGUGGCCUUUAUUAUUUAGCCAUAUGGAAUAUAAUUGUUAUAUAUGUUUAGCGAUAGGUUUAUAUUCUUUCUAAAUUUAAUAAAAAAGAGACAAUCCAUCCUUAGAAGGUUUGAAUGAAUAAUGUUUCUUAAAGCAUUAUAGGCUGCAUUUAUUUGCCAUUAUUCACUUUCAGGCUCUUAUUGAUGAGUACACCUGGCGUGGAACAAUGCUAGCUGAAGGCGGGAUAAUCUUGAAUGGCCUGGUCUGUGCACUAGUAUUUAAGAUACCAGGGAAAAUUAACGACCACGGUACACAUACAAGAUACAACAAUGGCGAUAGGGAACAGACAACUGAAGUCAAUCAAUCACUUAGACACAAGACAAUUAUGAUAGCUGCCAUACAUAUCAAAAUACUAAAGUAGAAUCGAAGUUCAAUGCAUUAAAUGCGGAACAAAUUACGGAGGCUAGAAGCGAACUAUUUCAUGCAACUGCUGACGAACAAAGAGAAGUAUCAGACAACUGUUCUGUGAAAGAAAAGUAUGCGAAAGUAAUUAUACAAAACUACAAUGUUAUCGCAAAUGUCGAGUACCCCUGUAAUAAUCAAUGCCAAAAACAUUCAAAAAUAGCUGUAACUAAAACAACAUCGUUUUCGUCUUCCAGUUCAUGUACACAGACCGAACAUACAAACAAAAAUAUUAACUCAUCGCUUUUUACAAACAGUCAGAUUAGAGAAUCAACAGGUGAUUAUAAUGAAAAACAAGACGAGAUUAAACAAAAACAUGCCACAUCUAAAAGGCAGAGGUGGAUCAGCAUUUCACUUCUGAAAAACCCAGGCUUUAUAAUAUGCCUUAUGGGCAAUGGUCUCAUAGAUUUAGCUCUCAACAUUCCGAUUGCAUUUAUUCCCGAUAUGAUGUAUCUGAAAGGAUUCAAGAUACAGGAAGCAGUUUGGACCAUUUUUGUUUUAGGUGUCGUUAGCACGGAAGUUCAAGCUCACUACGCGGUGUACUGAUACCGGAUUUGUUCGGCUCCGAGACUAUAGCUGAUCAUUUCGGUAUUACAAUGUUCUUCAGUGGAGUUGCCGCUCUAGUAAGCUUGCCUAUAUCAGGUGCUAUAUAUGACGUCACUGGCAGUUACCGUCUACCGUUCGUUAUUGCUGGUGGUGAACUCAUUACCAGUGGGCUAUUAUUAUUUCUGAUUCCAACGAUACAAACGUGUUGCCAUUCCAACAUAAAAACAAAGAAUUAAUCAAGCAGUGGUAUAUCUAAAUGUUAAAUAAUUAUCGUACUAUAUAUUAAUUUUAUAUUAUGUUUUAAUAAAAUCUGUGAAAAGAUACCUUGGAAGCAUAUAACGCAACAAAGCAACAUAAUAGCAGAGACCCGGUUUAACUGAGUUUGUUCAUGAGAGAUAAUGAAUUUUGUAACACCACUCUCGCCCAACAGAAACGGAUAAUGAAUUUUGUAACACCACUCUCGCCCAACAGAAACGGAUAGUUCAUUUUGUAACACCACUCUCGUCCAACAGAAACGGAUAGUGAAUUUUGUAACACCAUUCUCGCCCAACAAAACGGAUAAUGAAUUUUGUAACACCACUCUCGCCCAACAGAAACGGAUAGUGAAUUUUGUAACACCACUCUCGCCCAACAGAAACGGCUCAAGUGGAAUUCUAAUAUAUUAAAAUGAAUGUGUUCCAUGAUCUCAAAGAACCGGAAAUGUAUAAACACUGAGACCAAGUACGGGGAGAUUUGUACACUUAUACUACUUUUGUCAUGGAUAAUAAAAGUGUAAAAAAAUCCUUUGAAAGCAUUGAACGCCACCAAUUAACAUAACAGCAAAAUCGGUCUG